AUGGACUUAUGGACUCUGGUGAACUGCGGUAUAUGUGUAUGUACUGAUAAAAAUGCAAUGAUGACCAUUUCUUUGUAGUGAAUUAUGUUUGAUAACUGUGAAAACAUGUGAAUAUUUAUUUAUAAAACGUGUAUAUUCAUUCAAACACAUUGUUCAACCGAAUCAGUCUUCCUAUUAUAACAAAAUGUGGAUGUAUUUUCUGUUAACCAUUUUUAUAACGUUCGAUUUUGUAAUGGCAUCGCCUGGCUUUGAUUUUGGGGAUACUUUAGCAUUAAUUAUUGGAUUGAUUAUUGGAAUCAUUGGAUUUUUCGCUUGCAUGGGUGCAUAUGCACGGAAUCGAAAUCGUUUGGAACCACUGUCAUAAUAGUAUAUAACUUAGGAAUUCAACUGAGAGCUAUUGGAUACAUAAAAAGUUACAGAAGAAAAUGCCUCAAAUCAAUUUACAUAUUUUGAAUAUUACAUAUUUAUCAAAGAGGUUUAAAAUAUUUUAAUAAUAACAGUAACAUUUAUAAUUAUGAACUAUAUUUCUGAUGAAAAUAUAUUAAACUAUUUUUAUACAUUGUUCCACUAAUGUAAUGAAUAUAUUGCAUACAUUUAAAUAAAGAUAAUAAUAAAAUAUAAAUAUCAGUUUAGAUAAUCAUGUAUUAAAAUGAAUAAUAUAAAACAAUUUGAUGUACUUAAAAAUAAACACAAAAUAUAAAUGGUUAUAAGAUAUAGUAUAUGCUGUAUCAUAUUAAAAGAUUACAUAUUGUUGUCUAUAUAAUAUAUUCAUAAAUUUUCAUAAAUGUACAAUGCAUUAAAUAACAUCAGAAGCUGUAUCUUGCAGUUGGUUUCUUAAUUACAGAACAAAAAAUAAUAUUAUCUUGAAUAUGAUCAUUUAAGUCAUUUCAAGUUACAAUUAAAUUUAUAUCAACACAGUUUCAACGUGUCUCUGUCCAUUAUAAUUUCUACACAAAAAAGCAUUUGAAUUGAAAUUUCAUGUUAAUUUGAUAUUGUUGAAUGCUGAUGCAUAUCUAAUCAGUCUUUAUAAAAUCUUUAUAGAGUUCCACGCAACAUAGUUUACAGAAACCUUAAAGCAUGUAUGAACUUAUACACUAUUUAGUACAGGAUAGCUCUUUGAUUAUUCUUGUCUGAAUAUUUUCAUAUUUUUUUUUUCAUGUUUUAUUACAAGCAAAAUAAUUAAUCACUAAUACAUGAUAUUGAAGAACUUAAGUUAAUUUCUUUAUAACAGUUAUAUGUAUUCUUUUCUUUUUUUAACUAUUUUUGCAUGCUUUAAUGAGUGAGUCUAAUUUCUAUAUAAUUUUUCCAGUAAUCUGUAGAUAAAUUUAAAAAUUCUGUUUCCUGAGACAAGAUUUUGUUUUUUGUGUUUAAACAUGAAAAACAAGACAUUGAAUAUUUCAUCAAAGAAUUCAUUAGAUAA